rnacentral:rRNA from 2 species
AGUCGAGCGGACUAAUGGGAGCUUGCUCCCGUUAGUUAGCGGCGGACGGGUGAGUAACACGUGGGCAACCUACCUGUAAGACUGGGAUAACUUCGGGAAACCGGAGCUAAUACCGGAUGACAUAAAGGAACUCCUGUUCCUUUAUUGAAAGAUGGCUUCGGCUAUCACUUACAGAUGGGCCCGCGGCGCAUUAGCUAGUUGGUGAGGUAACGGCUCACCAAGGCGACGAUGCGUAGCCGACCUGAGAGGGUGAUCGGCCACACUGGGACUGAGACACGGCCCAGACUCCUACGGGAGGCAGCAGU